rnacentral:rRNA from 1 species
CAGCCGCCGCGGUAAUACGAACCGUGCGAACGUUAUUCGGAAUUACUGGGCUUAAAGCGCGUGUAGGCGGGCCGCCACGUCGGUUGCUGAAAUCCCCCGGCUCAACCGGGGAAGUGGCAUCGAUACGAGCGGCCCUGAGGGGGGUAGGGGGAUCUGGAACUUCCGGUGGAGCGGUGAAAUGCGUUGAGAUCGGAAGGAACGCCCGUGGCGAAAGCGAGGUCCUGGACCCUUUCUGACGCUGAGACGCGAAAGCCAGGGGAGCGAACGGGAUUAGAUACCCCCGUAGUCCCUGUCUCUUAUA